GACGAACGCUGGCGGCGUGCCUAACACAUGCAAGUCGAACGGAACUGUUUUGAAAGAUUUCUUCGGAAUGAAUUUGAUUUAGUUUAGUGGCGGACGGGUGAGUAACGCGUGAGUAACCUGCCUUCAAGAGGGGGAUAACAUUCUGAAAAGGAUGCUAAUACCGCAUGACAUAUCGGAACCACAUGGUUUUGAUAUCAAAGAUUUUAUCGCUUGAAGAUGGACUCGCGUCCGAUUAGUUAGUUGGUGAGGUAACGGCUCACCAAGACCGCGAUCGGUAGCCGGACUGAGAGGUUGAACGGCCACAUUGGGACUGAGACACGGCCCAGACUCCUACGGGAGGCAGCAGUGGGGGAUAUUGCGCAAUGGGGGCAACCCUGACGCAGCAACGCCGCGUGAAGGAUGAAGGUUUUCGGAUUGUAAACUUCUUUUAUUAAGGACGAAAAAUGACGGUACUUAAUGGAUAAGCUCCGGCUAACUACGUGCCAGCAGCCGCGGUAAUACGUAGGGAGCAAGCGUUGUCCGGAUUUACUGGGUGUAAAGGGUGCGUAGGCGGCUUUGCAAGUCAGAUGUGAAAUCUAUGGGCUCAACCCAUAAACUGCAUUUGAAACUGUAGAGCUUGAGUGAAGUAGAGGCAGGCGGAAUUCCCCGUGUAGCGGUGAAAUGCGUAGAGAUGGGGAGGAACACCAGUGGCGAAGG
rnacentral:rRNA from 1 species